rnacentral:rRNA from 1 species
UGGGGAAUUUUGGACAAUGGGCGCAAGCCUGAUCCAGCCAUGCCGCGUGCAGGAUGAAGGCCUUCGGGUUGUAAACUGCUUUUGUACGGAACGAAAAGACUCCUUCUAAUAAAGGGGGUCCAUGACGGUACCGUAAGAAUAAGCACCGGCUAACUACGUGCCAGCAGCCGCGGUAAUACGUAGGGUGCGAGCGUUAAUCGGAAUUACUGGGCGUAAAGCGUGCGCAGGCGGUGAUGUAAGACAGAUGUGAAAUCCCCGGGCUCAACCUGGGAACUGGAUUUGUGACUGCAUCGCUGGAGUGCGGCAGAGGGGGAUGGAAUUCCGCGUGUAGCAGUGAAAUGCGUAGGUAUGCGGAGGAACACCGAUGGCGAAGGCAAUCCCCUGGGCCUGCACUGACGCUCAUGCACGAAAGCGUGGGGAGCAAACAGG